rnacentral:rRNA from 1 species
CAAACAGAGGGAAGCGGACCGGUGACGGCGAGCGAAUCCCAAAAAGUGCGCCCCAGUUCGGAUUGUAGUCUGCAACUCGACUACAUGAAGCCGGAAUCGCUAGUAAUCGCGGAUCAGAAUGCCGCGGUGAAUACGUUCCCGGGUCUUGUACACACCGCCCGUCACACCAUGGGAGCCGGAAAUGCCCGAAGUCAGUGACCCAACCAAUAAGGAGGGAGCUGCCGAAGGCAGGUCUGGUGACUGGGGUGAAGUCGUAACAAGGUACC